UGCAGUCGAGGGGUAUAUGUCUUCGGAUAUAGAGACCGGCGCACGGGUGCGUAACGCGUAUGCAAUCUGCCUUUCACAGAGGGAUAGCCCAGAGAAAUUUGGAUUAAUACCUCAUAGCAUUAUAGGAUGGCAUCAUUUUAUAAUUAAAGUCACAACGGUGAAAGAUGAGCAUGCGUCCCAUUAGCUAGUUGGUAAGGUAACGGCUUACCAAGGCAACGAUGGGUAGGGGUCCUGAGAGGGAGAUCCCCCACACUGGUACUGAGACACGGACCAGACUCCUACGGGAGGCAGCAGUGAGGAAUAUUGGUCAAUGGGCGCAAGCCUGAACCAGCCAUGCCGCGUGCAGGAUGACGGUCCUAUGGAUUGUAAACUGCUUUUGUACGGGAAGAAACACUCCUUCGUGAAGGAGCUUGACGGUACCGUAAGAAUAAGGAUCGGCUAACUCCGUGCCAGCAGCCGCGGUAAUACGGAGGAUCCAAGCGUUAUCCGGAAUCAUUGGGUUUAAAGGGUCCGUAGGCGGUCUUGUAAGUCAGUGGUGAAAGCCCAUCGCUCAACGGUGGAACGGCCAUUGAUACUGCAGGACUUGAAUUAUUGGGAAGUAACUAGAAUAUGUAGUGUAGCGGUGAAAUGCUUAGAGAUUACAUGGAAUACCAAUUGCGAAGGCAGGUUACUACCAAUUGAUUGACGCUGAUGGACGAAAGCGUGGGUAGCGAACAGGAUUAGAUACCCUGGUAGUCCACGCCGUAAACGAUGGAUACUAGCUGUUGGGGGCAACUUCAGUGGCUAAGCGAAAGUGAUAAGUAUCCCACCUGGGGAGUACGAACGCAAGUUUGAAACUCAAAGGAAUUGACGGGGGCCCGCACAAGCGGUGGAGCAUGUGGUUUAAUUCGAUGAUACGCGAGGAACCUUACCAAGGCUUAAAUGCAGACUGACCGAUUUGGAAACAGAUCUUUCGCAAGACAGUUUACAAGGUGCUGCAUGGUUGUCGUCAGCUCGUGCCGUGAGGUGUCAGGUUAAGUCCUAUAACG
rnacentral:rRNA from 1 species